AUGCUCACUUCAGCAGCAUAUAUACUAAAAUUGGAAUGAUACAGAGAAGAUUAGCAUGGCCCCUGUGCAAGGAUGACAUAUACAUUUGUGAAGCAUUCUGUAUUUUU
rnacentral:snRNA from 1 species